rnacentral:rRNA from 1 species
AUGCACACGGAUGAGUCCGACCGGCAGGCAACGGCGUCCGGGCAGCGGCAGGGGCAGUGCCAGCAGCCAUGGGAGUACAGCCUGCGGAAGUACCUCCUGCUGCUGUCCACCCUGGUGGUCACCGUCACCUACGCCGCCGGCUUCAACCCGCCGGGCGGCGUCUGGCAGGUCACCCACGACGGCCAACUCGCCGGCGACCCCAUCAUCCGCCAAACCAACUACCGCCGCUACCUCGCCUUCUUCUACUGCAACGCCACCGCCUUCGCCGCCUCGCUCGUGGUCAUCGUCCUCAUCCUUGUCCUCGCCAUCCGGCACGACAAGGAGAAGGAGAAGAAGAAGAAUGACGCCAUCGGGGUCGUCCUGCCGCUGCGGGGCUUCAUGAUUCUGGACCUCCUUAGCCUCGUGGGCGCCUACGGCGCCGGAACCUGCCGGGACAAGAUCUCCAUCGUCUACUCUGCGGUGUUGGUGGCCAUCGUCUUUCUCUGCAUCGUGGCUCUCAAGUUGAUGGAUUGCUGGUCCACAGACAAGAACCAUGGCCCUGGCUCCGAUGGCGUGACGCCCCUGACGAAGCCCAAAGCAGAAGAGCGGCUCUGCAAGGUCCUGAUGCUCCUGGCCACGUUCGCGGUGAGCGUCACAUACGUCGCCGGGCUGAGCACGCCGGGUGGCUUCUGGGACAGCACCGGGACCAGCUACCGCCCAGGUGAUGCAAUUCUCAAGGACCGUCACAGCAUGCGCCUGACGGUGUUCCUGCUCUGCAACACCACGGCGUUCGUGGCGUCCCUGCUCAUCACCAUGCUGCUCAUCAUCGACGGCAAGAAGCUCCGCGAGAAGACGGCUCGCUCUCGCGUGCUCUACGGGUGUAUCGUCGUCGCGCUUGUCGGCCUCAUUGGCGCAUACACCGCUGGCAGCUGCAGGAAGGCCGACACCACCGCCAAAUUGGUCGGCCUUGUCGGCGCCGUUCUGGCAAUGGCAUACAUUCUACUCUAUGGUGGUUUCUAUACGUCAGCGCCAAAAAUUUCGUGUUCUUGUUUCGGUCCAGCAAAACAAACUGAUGAUGAUGUCAGUACUAAGGAGCUUCUGGAGAAGGCUCGCUCUCUUGUUCUACUGCUGGCCACUCUUGCCGCCACAAUCACCUACACAGCGGGGCUGGACCCGCCGGGUGGCCUUUGGCAGGACAACGUCGAUGGGCACAUGGCCGGUGACCCGAUCCUCCUCACCACAAACGCUAGGAGGUACAAGGCCUUCUUCUACUGCAACUCGGUUGCGUUCGUGGCCUCUUUGGUGGCCAUCGUCCUGGUCCAGAAGGAGAUUCUGGUCAAGCACCAUGUGCUUGAGGCAGCCAUGAUACUCGACCUGUUUGGCCUCAUCGGCGCAUAUGCCGCUGGGAGCUGCCGGGACGCCAACACCUCCUUUUAUGCCAUGGCUUUGGCCGGCGCCGUCCUCGUCUAUGUGGUGAUCCAUGUUGUCUUCUUCACACUAGAUCAGGAUCCCAAGGACCAAAAAGACGACGAAGCAGAUCAGUUGCUGGAGAAGAGGCGCUUGCUGGAGAAGAGGCGCAAACGGUUGCUCCUCUUUGCGAUCUUGGCCGCAACCAUCACCUACCAAGCAGGCCUCACCCCUCCCGGCGGCGUCCUGCUCAAGGAUGACAAUCUCGGGCACCACGCUGGCGACCCGGUACUCUUGUACAACUACCCAUUACGCUACAAGGUCUUCUUCUACUGCAACUCGGUGAGCUUCAUGUUGUCCAUCGCCCUCAUCAUCCUCCUGGUGAACCCCAAUCUGUACAGGCCAGCCAUACGAAGCAAUGCUUUAUCUGUUUGUACGGCAGUGGGCUUGUUUUGCUUGACGGGUGCCUAUGCCGCUGGAAGCACGCAACACUUCAAGACAUCCAUCUACAUCUUUGUGCUGGUUGGCGCGGUCCUCUUUGUUGCAGCUGGACUGCUGCUAGUAUUUUUGCUGACGAAGCCAAACAAAAAUGAAAAUUCAACAGCUGCUGCGCCAUCCAUAUCCUGUGAACAGGAAGACGGAGAAGAAGAAAAGAAGAAACACGCCAGGAGCAAGUACCUGAUGCUGCUAGGCAUCUUGGUGGCAAGCGUAGCCUACCAGGCCGGCCUGGAUCCGCCCGGCGGAGCAUGGCAGAGCAGUGGCAAUGGGUAUGAGGCGGGUGACCCUGUGAUGCACUUUAACAGGAGGCCACGGUACCUCGUCUUCUUCUACAGCAACUCCAUUUCCUUCAUGGCUUCCAUCGUCGUCAUCAUGAUGCUGCUACCGCACUGGCUGCCAAAUGAGAAUGGAAAAAAUUGGGCGAAAUGGUCGCUGAGGGUGAUGAACUGGACGAUCCUACUGGAUUUGGUCACUCUCCUAGUGGCCUAUGCAGCCGGCUCCAGCAGGGGGUGGAAGACAUCUGUGUAUGUCGGCAUGCUCAUACUUGCCGUUCUGGGCUACUUUGCAAUCCAUAUGACGCUGUCGAUAUGGUCUGAUCGUCGCCGAGCAGCCAAGAAAAAACUAGAGCGUGAUUCUUUACCGGUGCGCUCAGCAGUGGUACACUCUAGCUAG